CUCCAGCGACUCUCUGGCCAGGGAUACUGCUUCUCAGCUUCCUUACCUCCCCUGCUAGCCGCCGCUGCCAUCGAGGCUCUCAACAUCAUGGAGGAGAAUCCAGGCAUUUUUUGCAGUUUUGAAGAAAAAAUGCCAAUAUAUCCACAGAGCUCUCCAGGGAACUAAAUAAGAGGAAUUUAUACUUAGAAUGAUGUCUGAGUUGGUGUAAGACAUGGACAUAUGUAGGAAUUUGGAGCCACAGAGAAUCCUGACAGCAGUGAUCCCCAUGAAACAACAGGAAUGCUGAAACGGUCAAGCUGAUGGACCUCAAGCAGAGACUUCUAGGAAGUGAAGGAUAUUUCAGCUUCAGGGAGGACAGAACUCUCAGUUCAUGGACAGAACUCUCUCUCUCUGAACAGGUGGGGCUGGAAGUAGAGCUCCAAAGGCUGAGAAGGAAAGGACGACAUGCUGGGCUAGAGGGUGCAAAGAGGUGAUGUCACCUCUUCUGCCCAUUUCCCCUCCCCCACACUCAGAAGCCCUUUGUGACAGGGAGACAGGAGUUUUGUGAUGCAGGCCUGGGCCCAACUCCCUGCAGAGAACUCCCAGAACUCAGGAUACCAACAGUGAG